rnacentral:rRNA from 1 species
CCUACGGGUGGCAGCAGUGAGGAAUAUUGGUCAAUGGACGCAAGUCUGAACCAGCCAUGCCGCGUGCAGGAUGACGGCUCUAUGAGUUGUAAACUGCUGUUGUACAGGGGUAAAUCCCGAUACGUGUAUCUGGUUGGAAGUAUAGUAUGAAUAAGGAUCGGCUAACUCCGUGCCAGCAGCCGCGGUAAUACGGAGGAUUCAAGCGUUAUCCGGAUUUAUUGGGUUUAAAGGGUGCGUAGGCGGUUCGUGAAGUUAGAGGUGAAAGUACGGGGCUCAACUCCGGCACUGACUCUGAUACUGUCGGGCUAGAGUAUAGUUGAGGUAGGCGGAAUGCAUGGUGUAGCGGUGAAAUGCAUAGAGAUCAUACAGAACACCGAGUGCGAAGGCAGCUUACCAAACUACGACUGACGUUGAGGCUCGAAAGCGUGGGGAGCAAACAGGAUUAGAUACCCGAGUAGUC